UACGAAGGGGGCUAGCGUUGCUCGGAAUCACUGGGCGUAAAGCGCACGUAGGCGGAUUGUUAAGUCAGGGGUGAAAUCCUGGAGCUCAACUCCAGAACUGCCUUUGAUACUGGCGAGCUUGAGUCCGGGAGAGGUGAGUGGAACUGCGAGUGUAGAGGUGAAAUUCGUAGAUAUUCGCAAGAACACCAGUGGCGAAGGCGGCUCACUGGCCCGGUACUGACGCUGAGGUGCGAAAGCGUGGGGAGCAAACAGG
rnacentral:rRNA from 1 species